AUGGUGUGAAACACGUUGUGUUUAGAACAAAUAGGGCCUGAAAUAAAACAGAUAUAGACGACAGAGAAUCGAUAAUUCCUUCCAGUGAACCAACAGUACUACAAGCAGUGUGGUGAUGAACAUUAGCCUGGGU